rnacentral:tRNA from 1 species
GGAGAGGUGGCAGAGUGGUUGAAUGCGGCGGUCUUGAAAACCGUUAGGCCCUUACGGGUCUCCCGAGUUCGAAUCUCGGCCUCUCCG